rnacentral:rRNA from 1 species
UACGAAGGGGGCUAGCGUUGCUCGGAAUCACUGGGCGUAAAGGGUGCGUAGGCGGGUUCUUAAGUCAGAGGUGAAAUCCUGGAGCUCAACUCCAGAACUGCCUUUGAUACUGAGAGUCUUGAGUAUGACAGGGGUGAGUGGAACUGCGAGUGUAGAGGUGAAAUUCGUAGAUAUUCGCAAGAACACCAGUGGCGAAGGCGGCUCACUGGGUCAUUACUGACGCUGAGGCACGAAAGCGUGGGGAGCAAACAGGG